rnacentral:misc_RNA from 1 species
AAAGUCGUAACAAGGUUUCCGUAGGUGAACCUGCGGAAGGAUCAUUAUUGAAUAAACUUGAUGGGUUGUUGCUGGCUCUUAGGAGCAUGUGCACGCCUGUCAUAUUUAUCCAUCCACCUGUGCACCUUAUGUAGUCUUUGGGGAUAACGAGCGUGAAACUAUCGAGGAUAACUCCCUCGGAAAAGAGGUCUGCUGCGCGUAAGCGUGGCUGACCUUGUGCUCGCGCGAGUUUCUCCCGAGUCUAUGUCUUUCAUAUACCACAUAGAAUGUCUUUGAAUGUAUUUCAUUGGGCCUCAGUGCCUAUAUAACACAAUACAACUUUCAGCAACGGAUCUCUUGGCUCUC